UUUCUUAUUCGUUUCCUUUUAGUGCUGCUUGUUGCUGAUGUUUCUGCCCAAAUAUCAUGAAACGUGGAGAAGAAAGAACACUCAGAUGUGCCCUGGAGACUUGCCUUUUAUUUUUAAACAUUGUUUUUUCCAUUGGGUUUGACCAACUCUAUACCCGACUUGAUCAAAUCCGAAGGAAAGCUUCCAAUUAUGGGGAACAAGUCCUCUGAAGUGGCUAAACUCCCACACACACAAAAGAAAAGGUAGGGUGGUGGGGGGAGAAAAACAGCCAACAAAAGGAAAAAA
rnacentral:lncRNA from 1 species